GCAUCUCUUGCUGUAGGAAUGUGCUCACAAGGCCAGUAGGAAAAAGUUACCAAGGGUUCUUGGGUUCGAUCAAUGUCUCCUUUUGACCACAAGCUCUUAGAUAUAAGGACUGCUAGCUCAACACUGGAAAAUUUUGAGGUGUCUGUCGAAGAAGAAUUUUUUGCAUAUCGUUUUGUAUUGUUAAUAUUGGGUAUUGUUCUAAUGAGCUUGGCAUCCUUCUUAAGCAAAUCGUUAGCAUUUUAUUAUAGCAGCACAAUGGCAGUUGGGGUCAUUCUUGUGAUACUUAUGAUUCUUUA